UUAUUAUUAUAGCAUAAUUAUUAUUUAUAAAUUCUAAUAAAACAUUUAUCAACUUAGUAAAGGUGAUUAAAAUUUAGUUUAUAUGCUUAUGAUAAGUACUGUGAAGGAAUAAUUUUAAUUAAGUCUAAGAAAAAAUUAAAAUUUGUACCUUUUGCAUCAUGGUUUAGCUAGAUAUAAGUUUUAGCUAAAAUUUCUCGAAAUCUGAUGGGCUAUUUUUAUCUUGUAUAAUAGUAUAUAAUAAUUGAUUGUAGCAAAAAUCUUUUUAAAGAUAAAAAUUGAAAUGAAAUUUUAUUCGUAUCAGAGGAUAGCUAGUUCUUCUAAAAGGUAUAUAAGUACUUUAAAUUAAUUUAAUAUUGUAAAAUAUAUACAAAAUUAUUUUAGUUUAAUUGGGUUCUUAAGGAUAAGCUUAAAAACUUUUAUUAUAAUUACAUCUUUUUAAUUUAAAAAUUUAAGCUUGAAAAUAGCUAUAAUUUUGAUUUUGUUAUAAUUUCAUUUAAUUAAUUUAAAAAUAAUUAAUUUGUUUUAUAAAAAUGAAGAAAACUUUAUAACUUAAGUAAGUUGAAUCAAUGCUAAAAUGAGUAUUAUAUUAUUUUAAUAUUUUAAUAAUAUUAAUAUUAAAAUUACUAUAAAUUUAUUAAAAUUAAGUCGUACUAAGGAACUCGGCAAAUUUAUAUUCUGCCUGUUUAGCAAAAACAUCGCUCCUUGAUAUUAUUAUAUAAGGAGUUGGACCUGCCCAGUGAUUUAUUUUAACGGCCGCGGUACUCUGACCGUGCAAAGGUAGCAUAAUCAUUUGCCUUAUAAUUGAAGGCUAGUAUGAAAGGUUUAACAAGAAUAUUACUGUCUCAAUACGAUUAAUUAGAAUUUUAUUUUUAGGUGAAGAAGCCUAAAUUAAAUUAAUAGACAAGAAGACCCUAUCGAGCUUUAAAUAAUUAUGAAGACUAUUUAUUGAUAAAUUUAAAAAAUUAGCUUCUAAAAAUUUUAGUUGGGGCGACUAAGGAACAAUUAAAGCUUCCUUAAUUAAAUUAUUAUGUUCAAAUAUUGAUCCAUAAAAUUAUGAUUAAUGGAAUUAGUUACCGUAGGGAUAACAGCAUAAUCUUUUUUAAGAGCUCUUAUCGAAAAAAAGGUUUGUGACCUCGAUGUUGGACCAAAAUAUCCUAAAGAUGCAGCAGUCUUUAAUGGUUGGUCUGUUCGACCAUUAAAAUUUUACGUGAUCUGAGUUCAGACCGGCGUAAGCCAGGUCAGUUUCUAUCUUUAAUUUUAUAAAUAAAUUUAGUACGAAAGGACCAGUUUAUUAUAAAAAAUAUUAAAAACGAAAUAAUUUAAUUAUGUAUUAAA
rnacentral:rRNA from 1 species